UACGUAGGGUCCGAGCGUUGUCCGGAAUUACUGGGCGUAAAGAGCUCGUAGGUGGUUUGUCGCGUUGUUCGUGAAAACUCACAACUCAAUUGUGGGCGUGCGGGCGAUACGGGCAGACUGGAGUACUGCAGGGGAGACUGGAAUUCCUGGUGUAGCGGUGGAAUGCGCAGAGUAUCAGGAGGAACACCGGUGGCGAAGGCGGGUCUCGUGGGCAGUAACUGACGCUGAGGAGCGAAAGCGUGGGGAGCGAACAGGAUAGAA
rnacentral:rRNA from 1 species